UACGAAGGGGGCUAGCGUUGUUCGGAAUCACUGGGCGUAAAGCGCACGUAGGCGGAUGUGCCAGUCAGGGGUGAAAUCCCGGAGCUCAACCUUCGGAACUGCCUUUGAAACUAGAUUGCUAGAAUCUUGGAGAGGCGAGUGGAAUUCCGAGUGUAGAGGUGAAAUUACGUCGAGAUUAUCGGAAGAACACCAGUAGGCGA
rnacentral:rRNA from 1 species